rnacentral:rRNA from 1 species
UACGUAGGGUGCGAGCGUUAAUCGGAUUUACUGGGCGUAAAGCGUGCGUAGGCGGCCCGUUAAGACAGGUGUGAAAUCCCUGGGCUCAACCUAGGAAUUGCGCUUGUGACUGGCGGGCUCGAGUACGGUAGAGGGGGGUGGAAUUCCUGGUGUAGCAGUGAAAUGCGUAGAGAUCAGGAGGAACACCGAUGGCGAAGGCAGCCCCCUGGGCCUGUACUGACGCUCAUGCACGAAAGCGUGGGGAGCAAACAGG